rnacentral:rRNA from 1 species
AGCAGCCGCGGUAAUUCCAGCUCCAAUAGCGUAUAUUAAAGUUGUUGCAGUUAAAAAGCUCGUAGUUGAAUUUCGGGGUUAGUAGGUUGGUCGUGCCACUGGUACGUACUGGUCUCACUGAUUCCUCCUUCCUGAUGAACUGUAAUGCCAUUAAUUUGGUGUUGCAGGGAAACUGGACUGUUACUUUGAAAAAAUUUAGAGUGUUUAAAGCAAGCUAACGCUUGAAUACAUUAGCAUGGAAUGAUGAAAUAGGACGUUCGAUCCUAUUUUGUUGGUUUCUAGGAUUGGCGUAAUGAUUAAUAGGGAUAGUUGGGGGCAUUAGUAUUCAAUUGUCAGAGGUGAAAUUCUUGGAUUUAUUGAAGACUAACUACUGCGAAAGCAUUUGCCAAGGAUGUUUUCAUUAAUCAAGAACGAAAGUUAGGGGGAUCGAAGACGAUCAGAUACCGUCGUAGUCUUAACCAUAAACUAUGCCGACUAGGGAUCGGAUGAUGUUAAUUUUUUAAUGACUCAUUCGGCGCCU